UACAGAGGGUGCAAGCGUUAAUCGGAAUUACCGGGCGUAAAGCGUGCGCAGACGGUUGCGUAAGUCAGAUGUGAAAGCCCCGGGCUCAACCCUGGGAAUUGCAUUUGAGACUGCGUAGCUAGGGUGCGGAAGAGGGAAGCGGAAUUUCCGGUGUAGCGGUGAAAUGCGUAGAUAUCGGAAGGAACACCAGUGGCGAAAGCGGCUUCCUGGUCCAGCACCGACGUUCAGGCACGAAAGCGUGGG
rnacentral:rRNA from 1 species